UGGGGAAUAUUGGACAAUGGGCGAAAGCCUGAUCCAGCCAUGCCGCGUGUGUGAAGAAGGUCUUCGGAUUGUAAAGCACUUUAAGUUGGGAGGAAGGGCAUUAACCUAAUACGUUAGUGUUUUGACGUUACCGACAGGAUAAGCACCGGCUAACUCUGUGCCAGCAGCCGCGGUAAUACAGAGGGUGCAAGCGUUAAUCGGAAUUACUGGGCGUAAAGCGCGCGUAGGUGGUUUGUUAAGUUGGAUGUGAAAUCCCCGGGCUCAACCUGGGAACUGCAUUCAAAACUGACUGACUAGAGUAUGGUAGAGGGUGGUGGAAUUUCCUGUGUAGCGGUGAAAUGCGUAGAUAUAGGAAGGAACACCAGUGGCGAAGGCGACCACCUGGACUAAUACUGACACUGAGGUGCGAAAGCGUGGGGAGCAAACA
rnacentral:rRNA from 1 species